GCCUCUGUAGCUCAGUGGUAGAGCGUCUGUUUUGUAAACAGAAGGUCGGGAGUUCAAUCCUCCCCGGGGGCU
rnacentral:tRNA from 1 species